GCGAGCGACUCUGGAGAGACCGGAACCAGCCGGCGCCGAAGGGGCAUGGGCAACACGCCCAAAACUCUCAGGCAAAAGGACAGAGGGGCGCCC
rnacentral:ncRNA from 2 species